rnacentral:tmRNA from 1 species
AGGGACAUCUAACACAACUGAGUUCGUCGGUUACUUGUGUGCGAGAGAACCGGGACUGAGAAAACGAUGAGCACACUACGCCCGUAGAAGCCCUGUAUCAGUGUCGAAGGACCCGGGUUCGAUUCCCGGCACCUCCACCA